UUUAAGCCCGUGACGGGGAAAGUAACAAGUACUCUGCAUUAGAGAGUUGGUGUUUGGUGCAAAUCAACCAGAGGCUCGUUGAUUCCACCCCUGAGGCGUUGAUGAUGAAUCAAACCGUUGCACCGGUUAUUGUGCAUAAGAGUGAGCUGGAUUUUAGAUCCGGCUAAUUUGGGUGGCACCGCGGAUAAAUAUCUCUCGUCCCUGAU
rnacentral:ncRNA from 1 species